AUUGAACGCUGGCGGCAGGCCUAACACAUGCAAGUCGAGCGGAUGAAGGGAGCUUGCUCCUGGAUUCAGCGGCGGACGGGUGAGUAAUGCCUAGGAAUCUGCCUGGUAGUGGGGGAUAACGUCCUGAAACGGGCGCUAAUACCGCAUACGUCCUGAGGGAGAAAGUGGGGGAUCUUCGGACCUCACGCUAUCAGAUGAGCCUAGGUCGGAUUAGCUAGUUGGUGGGGUAAAGGCCUACCAAGGCGACGAUCCGUAACUGGUCUGAGAGGAUGAUCAGUCACACUGGAACUGAGACACGGUCCAGACUCCUACGGGAGGCAGCAGUGGGGAAUAUUGGACAAUGGGCGAAAGCCUGAUCCAGCCAUGCCGCGUGUGUGAAGAAGGUCUUCGGAGUGUAAAGCACUUUAAGUUGGGAGGAAGGGCAGUAAGUUAAUACCUUGCUGUUUUGACGUUACCAACAGAAUAAGCACCGGCUAACUUCGUG
rnacentral:rRNA from 1 species